UCCCAGACUCCUACGGGAGGCAGCAGUGGGGAAUAUUGCACAAUGGGGGGAACCCUGAUGCAGCGACGCCGCGUGGGUGAAGGAGUGCUUCGGCAUGUAAAGCCCUAUCGGCAGGGAAGAAGCAAGACGGUACCUGACUAAGAAGCCCCGGCUAACUACGUGCCAGCAGCCGCGGUAAUACGUAGGGGGCAAGCGUUAUCCGGAUGUACUGGGUGUAAAGGGGGCGCAGACGGCAGCGCAAGCCAGGGGUGAAAGCCCGGGGCCCAACCCCAGGACUGCUCUUGGAACUGCGCGGCUGGAGUGCAGGAGGGGCAGGCGGAAUUCCUGGUGUAGCGGUGAAAUGCGUAGAUAUCAGGAGGAACACCGGUGGCGAAGGCGGCCUGCUGGACUGCGACUGACGUUGAGGCCCGAAAGCGUGGGGAGCAAACAGGAUUAGAUACCCCCGUAC
rnacentral:rRNA from 1 species